UGUGAUCCAUCCAAUAGCUGAC
rnacentral:piRNA from 1 species